GCAACUCGGCUGCAUGAAGCUGGAAUCGCUAGUAAUCGCGGAUCAGAAUGCCGCGGUGAAUACGUUCCCGGGUCUUGUACACACCGCCCGUCACACCAUGGGAGCCGGGAAUGCCCGAAGUCAGUGGCCCAACCGCAGGGAGGGAGCUGCCGAAGGCAGGCCCGGUGACUGGGGUGAAGUCGUAACAAGGUACC
rnacentral:rRNA from 1 species